GGUUUCCAAAGUUCGUCUACCAAGGGGUUCGGGUAGCAGAAGGCAGAGAAGGCCGGCGAUAAGAGCAAAUCCCGCCAUCAAACUGAAAGAUAAACAUCCCUGGAUCUGCAUGCCCCUGACGAGGGGAUAGGUUCAUAAACCAGAUGGAGAAGAGGUUCCCGGGUAGCUCCACAAGCGAGGCCAACAGGAAGUUCAGUUUAAAAAAAAAGACUUACCACCAGAAAAAAAACAGUGGAAGUGCUGGUACUGAAACAGCGAUGGAUAGAUGUCUCCAGUCAUGUAGACCAUAAGCAAGGCCAUCCAAAGUUAUCAAAGAGAGAGUGAAAAACACCCAGUUUAGUGUCCCUGCAAGACUGCGAUGUGCUGGCCCAACAAACUCUGUACUCAACACAUAGAGAACAAUGUAUACUCCGCCUUCAAAAAAUCCAACAAUUGCACGUAGUACCAGGUAUAGCCUGUGAAGAAAAAAUUCAAAGACAUUUUGCUGAAACAUAUAUUUUUCAUUAUAAACAUAGUUUAACCAGGGAGACUAGUUAUCAAGGCUCACAAUUAUUCUAGUCAUUUGAUGUAUCAUGUAUAAGAAUAAAAAUGCUAUGCCCUUUUAA